rnacentral:rRNA from 1 species
AACGAACGCUGGCGGCGCGCCUAAUACAUGCAAGUCGAGCGAGAAGACGUAGCAAUACGUUUGUAAAGCGGCGAACGGGUGAGGAAUACAUGGGUAACCUACCCUAGAGUGGGGAAUAACUAGCCGAAAGGUUAGCUAAUACCGCGUACGCUCCUUGGACUUCGGUUCAGGGAGGAAAGCGAUACCGUGGGUAUUGCGCUCUUGGAUGGGCUCAUGUCCUAUCAGCUUGUUGGUGAGGAACGGCUCACCAAGGCUUCGACGGGUAGCUGGUCUGAGAGGACGAUCAGCCACACUGGCACUGCGACACGGGCCAGACUCCUACGGGAGGCAGCAGUAAGGAAUAUGCGCAAUGGGCGAAAGCCUGACGCAGCGACGCCGCGUGGGGAUGAAGGUC